GAUGAACGCUGGCGGCGUGCCUAAUACAUGCAAGUCGAGCGAACAGACGAGGAGCUUGCUCCUCUGACGUUAGCGGCGGACGGGUGAGUAACACGUGGAUAACCUACCUAUAAGACUGGGAUAACUUCGGGAAACCGGAGCUAAUACCGGAUAAUAUAUUGAACCGCAUGGUUCAAUAGUGAAAGACGGUUUUGCUGUCACUUAUAGAUGGAUCCGCGCCGCAUUAGCUAGUUGGUAAGGUAACGGCUUACCAAGGCAACGAUGCGUAGCCGAGCUGAGAGGGUGGUCGGCCACACUGGAACUGAGACACGGUCCAGACUCCUACGGGAGGCAGCAGUAGGGAAUCUUACGCAAUGGGCGAAAGCCUGACGGAGCAACGCCGCGUGAGUGAUGAAGGUCUUCGGAUCGUAAAACUCUGUUAUUAGGGAAGAACAAAUGUGUAAGUAACUAUGCACGUCUUGACGGUACCUAAUCAGAAAGCCACGGCUAACUACGUG
rnacentral:rRNA from 1 species